CCUACGGGGCGCAGCAGUCGGGAAUAUUGCGCAAUGGAGGAAACUCUGACGCAGUGACGCCGCGUAUAGGAAGAAGGUUUUCGGAUUGUAAACUAUUGUCGUGAGGGAAGAAAUUGACAGUACCUCAGGAGGAAGCUCCGGCUAACUAUGUGCCAGCAGCCGCGGUAAUACGUAGGGGGCAAGCGUUAUCCGGAUUUACUGGGUGUAAAGGGAGCGUAGACGGCGAUGCAAGUCUGAAGUGAAAGGCGGGGGCCCAACCCCCGGACUGCUUUGGAAACUGUAUGGCUGGAGUGCAGGAGAGGUAA
rnacentral:rRNA from 1 species